CGGAGAUCACCUGUCAAGUCCUUAAUUCCAUACGCUCCAGGGUCUGAAUUUCAGAGAAGCAAAAUUCAGGAGCCUCUUAGUAAGUCAGGUUCGGAACUUUUGAAAGCAGGGAGUAUGGCUGUGAAAUAAAUUGUCCUGAGACCAAUUCUGAAAUUUAAUAAUGGAGAAAAUAAAGAAAACUAAUGGCAAAAUCUUGAGGAAAAAAUAUUUUUAUUGAGAUGCAAAGGGAAAUUAUACAGCAAAGGAAAUAUGGAUGACCUGAACUAGGAGGAAGGAAAAGCAGCAAAAGAAAUUCAAGAUGUUUUGCCAAAGCUGCCAAUGAAAUGAAGAUGGAGAGGAAGCAGAGCAACACCCCACAUUCUCUGUUUAAAAAAAGCACUUGUUGAUUGAGCUUGGAUUUGCUGCAGGGUUUGUCUACCCAGAUGAGUGGUCAUAUUGAUGAAUUAAACGCAUGCUGUCUUGAUGUCAGAAAUGUUGCGCUGAAAGAGCCCCAAGAGACCAUCUAGUGAAAGCUCCUUCCUUUCCAGAUGUUCAAGUGGAGAUGCAGGGGGUCAAGGGUUGCCUUGGUUUCCUCUUUUGUCAAAGGCAGACACCGUUCUCACCUACCUUCUCAACUUCUCAGCAAAGUCAGCA
ensembl:lncRNA